UCGAUUUGUUCAGCUCCUGUUCUCACAUAUUUUCCUCACAAACGCAGGAAAAAAAACAUGACGAAAAUACUCGCCUGGUGUCACAAGGAGCGACUUCUGGAGGAGAAAAGUGUUUUAUGGUUCAUGGGGAACGAUUACAGACCAGAAAAAAAGGAAAUAUUAGAAAGAUUCUACUUUAAAAAGUCAUAUAGUGACCAUUAAAAUGCAGAAAAUGUCUUCUUAAUACUUUGUUCUGUUAUUUAAUCCAUUUAUUUCACAUUUUAAAUGCAGCUUUAUCAUUAAAUAGCUAAAUAUGUCCCAGACUGACUGCAGAUAAACCAUUAAAUAACAGCAAAAGUCCACAUUUUAAUUAUAUAUUUACCGAUUAUAACAGUUAAAUCUUCUUUCUUAUUGUUCAUGAAACAUGUUCUUUUCCUGCUACUACAGAUGCAGAAUUAAGCAGAAAAUUGACAUUUUUUCCUUUGGAGUUACCAUUAAAAUUGAGGAAAUGUCUCGUUAAUAAAAAUAAAGAGCUGCUGGGACUUUUUUCUGUUAUUUUAUCAGUUUAUUUUGCUUUUGCAGGGGUUUUUUUCUGCAGCUAUGCCAUUAAAUAACAGCAAAACACCACAUAUUAAUUUUAGAUUUACUGAUAAAUAACAGUUAAAUGUCCUGUUUAAAGAACUCUCUUGUUCUAGAGUUAAUUUAUGACAAACGUCCUUUUCCUGCCACUAUAGAUGCAAACUUAACAGACAGAAAAUUACUUUUUCCUUGUGAGUGACCAUUAAACACAGAAAAUGUCUUGUUUUUAUUGUGGAAACAAUGCUGAUUAAAGAAACAUGCCUUUAAAAAAAUAAGUGCAGUCCAUGAGCUACCAGCAUUUUAUCUGUUCCUUUAAAGAUUUGUUUAUUUACCAUUUGCAGUUUUAAUAAUGAGAUAAAUGAGUUGGACAAUAGCUGCUGGUCCAUUUUAAUUCAUACAAAUCAUCCUGUAAUGAGCUACUGGAACAUUUUCUGCUCUUUCAAGUAUUUAUUUCUUGGCGUGCACGUCUCUAAUUAUUCUAUCUGAAGACUCUAAAGCAGAGGUGGACUGGACAAAACUGGACCUCAAAGUGUAAAAAUCACAGCGAAGACAUGAACUGCAGAUUGUAAAU